UAAUUAAGAUUGAAAGAAGUAACUAUUAAGUAAAACAUCCUGUAUAAGGAAAAACUUUAAAGUGAGAAUAUGUUUAGGUACUUUUUUUUGUAUUAAUAUGUUAAUUUGAUUAGACUAAAUCUUUUUUUUAUAUAGUAUAAAAAGUAUAGAAUUAAUGUUGCUUGCGGUACUGUAAAGGAAAACACGUAAAUUGGUCUAUAGAAUAGUAGAGAUUUCAUUUCGUACCUUUUGUAUAAUGGGUUGAUGAUUGUUAGUAUUAUAUAAAUUCUUCUCGAAGUGAAAGGAUUUACUUAACAAGAUGUGCGUUAACGUUGUAUAGUUAUGUGUUGAUUGUUAAGUGGUAGUGAUAUGUUUAACGUUUUUCAUGAUAGCUAGUUUAUUAUUGAGAACAUUUAAGUGUUAUUAUAUCAAAAAAUUUUUUUUGAUAUAAGUUAAUCGUAUGAGGGAUAAGCUUCAUAUGUUUGUGUAGAAUAAAGUAAAUUAAAUAAAGAUUUAAGUAGAAUUAAUAAUGUUUUUCUUUUCAAAGUAGUUUAAAUCUAGGUUUAUAAUAUUGUGUUCAUGUAAGUAUUUAAUAGAUGUUUAUUAACUUAGUAUAGAUAAUUAUAAUGUUAAUAUGAGUAUUAGUUCAAGUUUUAGAUAAUUAAAUUGUUUAUAUAAUUGUUUAAGGUAGAUAUUUAAAUUAUGAUAAAGUAAAAUAAAGGAAUUCGGCAAAUAUUAAUCUCGCCUGUUUAUCAAAAACAUGUCUCUUUGUAUAAUACAAAUAAAGAGUCGGGCCUGCUCGGUGAACAAAUUGUUUUAACAGCUGCGGUAUUUUAACUGUACUAAGGUAGCAUAAUAAUUUGCCUUAUAAUUUGAGGCUAGAAUGAAUGGUUUGACGAAGGUUAAGCUGUCUCUAUUUUAUUUUUUAGAAUUUAAUUUAUAAGUGAAAAAGCUUAUAUUUCUUAAAGGGACGAGAAGACCCUAAUGAGCUUUAAUUUUAUUAAUUAUUUAUUUUAACAAAUUUGUAGUUAUAUAAAUUUUAAUUGGGGUGAUUAAGGAGUAAAUUUAAGUAACCUCCUUAUUUUUAUUACUGAUAAGUAAAAUAACCAAUUUUGUUGCUUAUACUAGAGUUACCAUAGGGAUAACAGCGUAAUCUAUUUUGAGAGUUCGUAUUGAAAAAUGGGAUUGCGACCUCGAUGUUGGAUUAAAGUAACCUUAAGGUGCAGAAGCUUUAAAAGGUAAAUCUGUUCGAUUUUUAAAACUUUACAUGAUCUGAGUUCAGACCGGCGUGAGCCAGGUUGGUUUCUAUCUUUUAAGAGGGAGUAGCUUCUUUCAGUACGAGAGGACCAGAGAAAGCUAACAUUUAAUGUUAUAAU
rnacentral:rRNA from 1 species